rnacentral:rRNA from 1 species
AGAGUUUGAUCCUGGCUCAGGACGAACGCUGGCGGCGUGCUUAACACAUGCAAGUCGAGCGAGGCCCUCCCUUCGGGGAGGAGCCCUAGCGGCGAACGGGUGAGUAACACGUGGGCAACCUGCCCCUAGCACUGGGAUAACUCCGGGAAACCGGGGCUAAUACCGGAUAUGACCUUGGAGGGCAUCCUCUUUGGUGUAAAGGAUUCUGGCUAGGGAUGGGCCCGCGGCCUAUCAGCUUGUUGGUGGGGUAACGGCCUACCAAGGCGACGACGGGUAGCCGGCCUGAGAGGGCGACCGGCCACACUGGGACUGAGACACGGCCCAGACUCCUACGGGAGGCAGCAGUGGGGAAUAUUGCACAAUGGGCGAAAGCCUGAUGCAGCGACGCCGCGUGAGGGAUGACUGCCUUCGGGUUGUAAACCUCUUUCAGCAGGGACGAAGCGAAAGUGACGGUACCUGCAGAAGAAGCACCGGCCAACAACGUGCCAGCAGCCGCGGUAAGACGUAGGGUGCAAGCGUUGUCCGGAAUUAUUGGGCGUAAAGAACUCGUAGGCGGUUGGUCGCGUCGGCUGUGAAAACCUGGGGCUCAACCCCGGGCCUGCAGCCGAUACGGGCAAACUAGAAUUCGGUAGGGGAGACUGGAAUUCCUGGUGUAGCGGUGAAAUGCGCAGAUAUCAGGAGGAACACCGGUGGCGAAGGCGGGUCUCUGGGCCGAUAUUGACGCUGAGGAGCGAAAGCGUGGGGGAGCAAACAGGAUUAGAUACCCUGGUAGUCCACGCCGUAAACGUUGGGAACUAGGUGUGGGCCACAUUCCACGUGGUCUGUGCCGCAGCUAACGCAUUAAGUUCCCCGCCUGGGGGAGUACGGCCGCAAGGCUAAAACUCAAAGGNAAUUGACGG